rnacentral:rRNA from 1 species
GUGGCGGCGUGCCUAACACAUGCAAGUCGAACGGAGUUUACUCGCUGAUGAAGCUUCGGCAGAAUCUUGAGUAAACUUAGUAGGCGGACGGGUGAGUAACGCGUGGGCAACCUGCCUCAUACUGGGGGAUAGCAGUUGGAAACGACUGAUAAUAUCGCAUAAGCGCACAGCAUCGCAUGAUGCAGUGUGAAAAAACUCCGGUGGUAUGAGAUGGGCCCGCGUCAGAUUAGCUAGUUGGUAAGGUAACGGCUUACCAAGGCGACGAUCUGUAGCCGGACUGAGAGGUCGGACGGCCACAUUGGGACUGAGACACGGCCCAAACUCCUACGGGAGGCAGCAGUGGGGGAUAUUGCACAAUGGAGGAAACUCUGAUGCAGCGACGCCGCGUGAAGUGAAGAAGUAUUUCGGUAUGUAAAGCUCUAUCAGCAGGGAAGAAAGGCUCGUAAGAGAGAUGACGGUACCUGACUAAGAAGCCCCGGCUAACUACGUGCCAGCAGCAGC